UAUAAAUUAGUUUAAAUGAACAUUAAAUUUUGAAUUUAAUAGAAAUAGUGCAAUUCUAUUAUUUAUAA
rnacentral:tRNA from 1 species